UCUGUACUUCAGGAAGCCUCUCUAGCCAGAACUUGGAGGAAAGGAACAAUGACAGGAGAAAAGACAAGAAUUAAAACACAUAAAAUACAAGAACACACACCAAUUCCCUGCUAAUCCAGACAUCCAGCGAAGAGCUUGUUGGAGUCAUCCUGGGACUGAGCACAACCUCAAGAUCUGAAGACCUAGAUCCCAGCUCUCAAUCCCACCAGCCUGGGCACUUUUAGGCCACUCAUCUGCUUUCCUCAUCUAUCAAACACAAAUCCUGCAUAAGGACAUACAAUUGUUUUAGAUACCCAGAAGAGUGCUAAAAGAAAACCAUGGGUAUCUACAUAUCCACUUAGCUAUACUGAUGAACUUCUUCCCAGUUUAGAAUGCAGAUGCCAUUGGUGCUGCCCUUUUGUGACUAAACAUGGACAGAAUCUUCAAUUGGCUAAUGAUCCUUAUAAGAUUUCAAGUCAGAAAAAAAGUUUGGAUGGGCACUUGCAAUAAAAGAUAAAUCAGAUCUGGCAAUAGCGUCUUUUGCAAAAGCUAAAUGAGAAAAACACAGUGUACAAGGAUGACAAGAUAAGCAGCAGGUUCUGUGCGUCCUACCCCCACUCUCUGCUAUCCCCCUUUCUUCCACAGAAAAAAAAAAGAAAGAAAAAAGCAAAAACAUUCAUCCACAUCUCUCUCCCCUAUCCCCACCAUCUCCAUCCCAAGAAAAGAAGGCUAUAUGAAAAUAAAAGUCUGGUUGCAUUUCAGGAGAAAAUAAAAUAAAACAGACCAACUUAUAGUUUGAAAGUUAUUUAAAGAAAUUACAGGCUCACAGAGACUCAAGAUGGGGAUAAACUAACAAGCACAUAUCUUUACAGCUGUCAGAGUGUCUAGGCAAAAAGAGAUA